UACGGAGGGUGCAAGCGUUAAUCGGAAUUACUGGGCGUAAAGCGCUCGUAGGCGGCUUGUUAAGUCGGAUGUGAAAGCCCUGGGCUCAACCUGGGAACUGCAUUCGAUACUGUCAAGCUAGAGUAUAGAAGAGGCAAGUGGAAUUCCAGGUGUAGCGGUGAAAUGCGUAGAUAUCUGGAGGAACAUCAGUGGCGAAGGCGACUUGCUGGUCUAAUACUGACGCUGAGGAGCGAAAGCGUGGGGAGCAAACGGG
rnacentral:rRNA from 1 species